rnacentral:lncRNA from 10 species
UCCGCCUGCCUCAGCCUCCCAAAGUGCUGGGAUUACAGGCGUGAGCCACCACGCCCGGCCUAAAUUCUUCUUCUUUUUUUUUUUUUUUUUUAGUAGAGAUGGCGUCUCCCUACAUUGCCCAGGCUGGCUUGAACUUCUGGGCUCAAGGGAUCCUCCUGCCUCAGACUUCCAAAGUGCUGGGAUUACAGGCGUGAGCCACCACACCCGGCCCCUAGUGGCACUUUUCUUUUCUUUCUUGGGAUAUUCAUUCUGGAGGCUGCUGUGGGGACUCUGAAGUAGCCCUAUGGAGAGGCCCAUGGGAUAAACUGAGGCCUCCUACCAGUGAAACCGUGCCCCAAAGAGUUAAAGAAACCAGUGACUAGCAGAAAUUUUCCAGUUUGCAGGAUGGCAGAUAAAAAAAGAAACGACUUGCAGAAAUGCUGAAAUUCAUCUGCUGGUGGGAUUAACACGCUGGCUGAAAUAGAUUGGGACCAAUAUGGCCAACUGCAGUUUGCACAGAACAAGCUUGCUGAUGUCACAGCCCGAAUUUCCAGUGCAUGUUACAUACUAACCACCCCCGGAAUUUGCACAUGCCCCCCAUGAGAUAACAUGAAGAGGGAACUGCGCAUGCCUGAGCACUUUCCAGGCCUCCCCUUUGCUUCCGCCAAUCACCUAAUAUCAGAAUCCACCCCCUAAACCUUUCCUAAUAAAAUUACCGCCUUAAAGCCAGCACAGGGGGACAGAUUUGAGCUAGACUUCUGUCUCCUUACUGGUUGACUUGCAAUAAAGCUAUUCUUUUCUGAAAAGCCUGGCGUCAGCUGGGCAUGGUGGCUCAUGACUGUAAGCCUAGCACUUUGGGAGGUCGAGGCAGGAGGAUCACUUGAGCCUUGGAGUUCAAGACCAGCCGGGACAACAUAGUGAGACCCCAACUUUAAAAACAAAAAAAACGGCCAGUCAUGGUUGCCUGCACCUGUAAUCCCAGCACUUUGAGAGGCUGAGGCAGGUGGAUCACUUGAGGUCGGGAGUUUGAGACCAGUCUGGCCAACAUAGUGAAACCCUGUCUCUACUAAAGGUACAAAAAUUAGCCAGGCAUGGUGGUGCACGCCUGUAGUCCCAGCUACUAGGGAGGCUGAGGCACGAGAAUCCCUUUAACCUGGGAGGUGGAGCUUGCAGUGAGCCGAGAUUGUGCCACUGCACUGCAGCCAGGGUGAUAGAAUGAGAUUCUGUCUCAAAAAAAAAAAAAAUACAUACAUAAAUCAUAAAAACAAAAAACCAAAAGCCUGGUGUCAUAGUAUUGGCUUGUAGCACAUUGGCUCAAGCCCGUUUUUCUCUGUAGAAUCAACUGCUAGCACCAAAUUGCCCGCCAUGUGAGUGAGCCACAUAUGAGGGUUCUUGGAAGGGAACUUCAGCCCCAGUUACACCCUCAAAGGACUGCAGCCCCAGGAGAGACCCCCACAUACAAAUUCCCCACCAAAAUGACUCCCAAAUUCUUGACAAACAGAAAUCAAGCUGGGCGCGGUGGCUCACGCCUGUAAUCUCAACACUUUGGGAGGCCAAGGCGGGCGGAUCAUGAGGUCAGGAGUUCGAGACCAUCCUGGCUAACACGGUGAAACCCUGUAUCUACUAAAAAUACAAAAAAUUAGCCAGGUGUGGUGGCGGGCGCCUGUAGUCCUAGCUACUUGGGAGGCUGAGGCAGGAGAAUGGCUUGCAGUGAGCCAAGAUUGUGCCACUGCACUCCAGCCUGGGCGACAGAGCGAGACUCCGUCUCAAAAAAAAAAAAAAAAAACAGAAAUCAUGAGCAAUGAGUGAUCCCUGUUACUUUAAGCAACCAAGUUGAGAGGUGACUUCCCUAUGCAACAUUAGAUAACUCAAGUGAUCACCUCUCCCCUUCAAUCCCCCCACCGAGGGUGGUAGCUCUCUCCUGCAAUCAUCUCUGGGUUACCUAAGUGUCCACUUUUGGCCUUUCCUCUGUCUUUCAACAGCCAUGUAAAAAUUUCCUUGUAUUGGCUGGGUGUAGUGGCUCACGCCUGUAAUCCCAGCACUUUGGGAAGCCGAGAUGGGUGGAUCAUGAGGUCAGGAGAUCGAGACUAUCCUGGUUCACAUGGUGAAACCCCGUCUCUACUAAAAAUAGAAAAAAAUUAGCCGGUCAUGGUGGCGGGCGCCUGUAGUCCCAGCUACUCGGGAGGCUGAGGCAGGAGAAUGGUGUGAACCCGGAAGGCAGAGCUUACAGUGAGCGGAGAUCGUGCCACUGAGCUCUAGCCUGGGUGACAGUGCGAGACUCCAUCUCAAAAAAAAAAACCAAAAAAACAAAACAAAAAAAUUCUCGUAUUAAAUGUGGCAUGAGCCACCACACUCAUCCUUGUCUUCUGGUCAGGGAAGACUAACUCCUCUUACCUUGACUAUUUCCCCAGGGCCCCAGACACACAUCGCCACGCAGGACCUGGGUGGGGAGUACGGAAUUUAUUUUAUUGUUCUGCGUCUGGGUUUGGUUCCUUGGACGUCACGGUUCCUGGAU